rnacentral:rRNA from 1 species
GAGGGGCCCGAGCGUUAUCCGGAUUUAUUGGGCGUAUAGAGCUAAAAGGUGGUGAUGAAAGUCGAGUGUUAAAGACCAGGGGCUCAACCCUGGAAGUGCACUCGAAACUACUUCACUAGAGGACGGACGAGGCAAGUGGAAUUGCUGGUGUAGCAGUAAAAUGCGUUAAUAUCAGCAGGAACACCGAUAGCGAAGGCAGCUUGCUAGGACGGUCCUGACACUAAAUAGCGAAAGCGUAGGUAGCGAAUGGGAUUAGAUACCCCAGUAGUCUACGCCGUAAACGAUGGAUACUAGGUAUCGGGGGAUUCGACCCCCUCGGUAUCGUAUAGCUAACGCGAUAAGUAUCCCGCCUGGGGAGUACGGCCGCAAGGCUA